ensembl:snRNA U6 U6 spliceosomal RNA
GACCUCACAUCUAUAGCACAUAUAAUAACACUGAAAUAUUACAGAGAUGAGCAUAGCCCCUGUGCCAAGAUGACUCACAAAUUUGUAAAGUUGGCGUAUUUUUG